rnacentral:rRNA from 1 species
UAGCUUCAACGAUGAAUCGUCGAUUCGCGUAUCGAUGAAGAACACAGCUUAUUGCGUUAUUUACCACGAAUUGCAGACGCUUAGAGAGGUGAAAUUACUAUUCAACGCUCGUGCACUUAACUUGUCAUUCAGUACCAGCGCCA